rnacentral:lncRNA from 1 species
CCAUUCCAAGAUAAACAAAAGGGAUGCCCAUAUCCUGAGGUCAAUAUCAUGCUGGUGACUUCGACUGAUGCCCUCUAUAAUUUAUUCAUUAUUAGUGGAAAUUUUCCAUAAUUUGGAUGUGGGUGACUUCCCCACCUUCAGAGUUCAUAGGAAAAAGGCUAAACCUCAAAGGGAAAUCGGAUGUUUGCACUUUCCAAUUAUCAUAUCAAAUCAUUAUUCAUGUUUCA